UACAUGGGGUGCAAACGUUGCUCGGAAUUAUUGGGCGUAAAGAGCUCGUAGGCGGUCUGUCGCGUCUGCUGUGAAAACUCAGGGCUUAACCCUGAGCUUGCAGUGGGUACGGGCAGACUAGAGUGCGGUAGGGGAGACUGGAAUUCCUGGUGUAGCGGUGAAAUGCGCAGAUAUCAGGAGGAACACCGGUGGCGAAGGCGGGUCUCUGGGCCUGUCCUGACGCUCAGGCGCGAAAGCUAGGGGAGCAAACAGG
rnacentral:rRNA from 1 species